rnacentral:rRNA from 1 species
GUGCAGCAGGCGAGAAAACUUCACACUGUGCGAAAGCACGAUGAGGGAAUCCCAAGUGCUUGCACGUAAGUGUAAGCUGUUUCUCUGUUUAAAACGCAGAGAGAGUAAGGGCUGGGUAAGACGGGUGCCAGCCGCCGCGGUAAUACCUGCAGCUCAAGUGGUGACCGUUAUUAUUGGGCCUAAAACGUCCGUAGCCGGUUUAAUAAAUGCCUGGGUAAAUCGUGUAGCUUAACUAUACGAAUUCCGGGUAGACUGUUAAACUCGAGACCGGGAGAAGUUAGAGGUACUCCUGGGGUAGAGGUGAAGUUCUGUAAUCCUAGGGGGACCACCAGUGGCGAAGGCGUCUAACUAGAACGGGUCUGACGGUGAGGGACGAAGCCCUGGGGCGCAAACGGGAUUAGAUACCCCUGUAGU